UGGGGUGUAGCCAAGCGGUAAGGCGCUGGUUUCUGAUACCAGUAUUCCGGGGUUCGAAUCCCUGCACCCCAGCCA
rnacentral:tRNA from 1 species